CUACAAUUUUGAUCCCAUAAUUAAUUGAGAAUGAUGCACUACGUAGCCCCUUGCAAUUUAAAGUAUAGUUGCAAGGAAAUUACGAGAUAAGGUUAUCAAGGUGCAAAAUUUAGUCUAGGCAAUUCAAUUUUAUGCUUUUGGGCGACGAACCCAGAAAUUUUUCUCGCCCAAUUUGCUAUUUUUUUCUUUUUGGUUGCCAAAUAAUCUAUUUAUACAUUUAUUUGUUUGUUAAUAUUGAAUGAGCAAAGCAAAAUGAUGAUUUCAUUUUGUGUCCGAAACUGAUGUGGAACUAUGUUUUAUACAUGCCUUCAAAGUUCUCUGAUUGCU